rnacentral:rRNA from 1 species
ACGAACGCUGGCGGCGUGCUUAACACAUGCAAGUCGAACGCUGAAGCCCAGCUUGCUGGGUGGAUGAGUGGCGAACGGGUGAGUAACACGUGAGUAACCUGCCCUUCACUCUGGGAUAACUCCGGGAAACCGGUGCUAAUACUGGAUAGGACUCCUGCCUGCAUGGGUGGGGGUGGAAAGAUUUAUCGGUGGAGGAUGGACUCGCGGCCUAUCAGCUUGUUGGUGGGGUAAUGGCCUACCAAGGCGACGACGGGUAGCCGGCCUGAGAGGGUGACCGGCCACACUGGGACUGAGACACGGCCCAGACUCCUACGGGAGGCAGCAGUGGGGAAUAUUGCACAAUGGGCGGAAGCCUGAUGCAGCGACGCCGCGUGCGGGAUGACGGCCUUCGGGUUGUAAACCGCUUUCAGUAGGGACGAAGCUUUUGUGACGGUACCUACAGAAGAAGCACCGGCUAACUACGUGCCAGCAGCCGCGGUAAUACGUAGGGUGCGAGCGUUGUCCGGAAUUAUUGGGCGUAAAGAGCUUGUAGGCGGUUUGUCGCGUCUGCUGUGAAAGCCCGGGGCUUAACCCUGGGUCUGCAGUGGGUACGGGCAGGCUAGAGUGUGGUAGGGGAGACUGGAAUUCCUGGUGUAGCGGUGGAAUGCGCAGAUAUCAGGAGGAACACCGAUGGCGAAGGCAG